ensembl:lncRNA
UUUUCCAAAGUAUUAAAAGGUUUGUUUAUUUUUUUGUAGCAACUUUAUUUUCAGGACUCAUCAUCUAUAGUAUAAUUAUUAGAAAGAGUGACAACUGCAUUGCUUAAAGCUUUUUUCUAAAUAAACUCUCAAGUCUAAGUAGAAGUUCACCGUUAAAUAUUGGUGACUGUAAAAACCUGACCAUUUUUUGACCUCUCUGCAUUUGGACAUGAAGCCCAUUUCUGUAUUUUGAACUACACAGAAAAAAUACAGAAGACACUCUUAUUAUAAGGCUAGCAGGAAAAUUGAUUUGAGAUAUUGAGCAAAAAGUCUUCAGUCUCUUAGAAAAGAACUGUUUGGCACCUAGGCCUGCAGACCCUAAUGCAGAUGUAUUAAUUCUCAGCAAGGCUUUAUAGUUGUCCACAAUUUAUGAGCCUGGCCCAUGUGUUGAUCAACAAGGACCCAGUCCUGUAUAUUUUUCCCGGGCAGUCUUUGAUCGUAUGUGAGUGCUUAUGUGAUGAAGGAUUCUUUGCAUAUUGAAAGUAUGCCUGAUUGGACUGUUGGCUACUUAGAUAGCUCAGAGCCUUAUAGAAAGAGUGUACUGAGUUGUGUUUCUUGUUUAUUAAACAAACAAAACAAACAAAAGUCCCCAAGAACUCUGAGCUUCUGUUAACUUAGUAUUGAAAGGAAGCUGUUUGGAUGCAGUAUUUUGGCUUAAAACAUUUUGAAACCAAGUGGCUAAGUUUGGUGUAAUUUAGCUGAUGGAAACUGUAGAGAAGGAAUGAAAAAUCAUUUAAGGGGAUCUUCAGUUCUCACUCAAACAAAACAGUCAAGGUGUAUCUGCAGUGUUUGGUUAUUGAUCGGGAACUCUUGAAAUUUUAGAAUAGAAUAAUCCCCCUGAAGAAGUUUUUAAACAAUCUGGAGGUUACCAGAAGCUCUGAAAGACAGUUCAGAAUAUGUUGCAUCACAUUUUCUGAUGUCCAGAAAUGUGCAAGUGUCAAUUUUGUAUUUUAACUCCUUCCUUUUACCUGACUAUCAGGGAAGCGUGAUUGAGGCUGACCUGACAUGUCAUGAUGUCGACUUGCUAGGUGGGGUUCGCAAGGGACAUUAACCUUGGAGUUAUCGGUAAGACAACUUUCUUUCUAAUUUACUUUGGUAAGGUUAAAGGGCUUUGGGUGGGAGGGGUUGGGCUGGGGGGAGGAGGUGAUCUCCACAGCCCUGAUCACUGGAAUAUUGUUGAAAAUCUACUACUGCCAUGGAGAGAUUCCAAGCAUUGAAAAUAAAGGUGACUGGUGCUUCAAGAGAAAAAUGGAUGAUGCUAUUUUAGAGAUGCUGGAAGCAUAAAUGGUUUUGAACACUUAUUUUUUUUCUUCUGUAAUCAAAGCCAGAUGUAUAUAUAUUUUUUUCCUAUCAUGAAAAAGCAAAGAACUUAGAGUACACUUCUUCAAAGUCUAAGAAUGCUGUAAAAAUGCAUCCAAGUAGAUCUUUGCAAUAAAAUUUUAUCUUGAAAAUGAUAACCAAAACUGGCAUAUUAUGAGUUUGGAUCAUUUACCUUCUGAACAUGACAAUCCUAUCAUGUAGUUGUUGUGAAAGAAUUUCUGAUAAACUGAGGGGCACUUAUAGCUGGUCCCAGUAGAAAACAACAGGAGAAUAGGACUUAAAUUAUCAUAGGUGUUUGUUUUUUUUUCUGGGUAAGGCAUGUUAUGUGUAUUAUAGACAAAUAGCAAAAGCUGAAGAUGGAUUUUGGAAGCGUUGCAGAUGAAACUUAGAGUACUUGGACAUCUUGAUAGAAGGAAUCCCUCAUGGCACCUGCUCACUUAGCACAUUUCCUUCCUCCACCAGCAGAGUCAAGGCCUUUCUUUUUCUGAGUCCACGAUACAGUACUUCGAAAGGAGCAGAGAAGUUGAAAGAGCUUAGUGGGCUGUAGGAGGAUUCCCAGUUUAGUCACUCAUUACUAAGAAGUUGAAGAGCAUGCCAGUUCUAGGAGUGACACCAAUACAGAAGAAAUGUAACUGGUUGAGUAGAGGUAUUUAUAAUGAUUUCUGGUAUGAAAAUAUAUUUAGUUAUUCCCAGGUGUACCUUCUUUGGAAUGAGUUGCUUUGAAAAUGCUCAGUGGCGCCCAACCUCAACUGCAGACUGAGAGGAGUUAUCUGCCCAUUUUAAUUCCAAGUAACAAGUGUCAAAUGCACCAGUACCUGCUUACAUGACAUUAUUCCAACAUACCCUGAGACAUUUAAAUGUGAGCAUGCAGUGAAUGCACACCUAACCUGAAUUUUAACAAAGGAUGUGGAAGUAACAUAAAUUUUGUCAGAGGAAAGAAACUUUAAUUUGAGAGAACAUUCAGCUGUCUUAGCAAUGAAUGGUGUCUCUGUUUAAGUUCCCUGCCGUGCUUACACUUGUGCAGGAGUUGCCUAUAGUGACAGUGAAGCACUGUGCAAACUAAAAGUGCUGUGUUUAAAAAUAGUUCAGGUGUGCAAUUAAGACGGAAUCAUAAUGCAUGCACUCAGAAGAACUGGAUAAAAGUUGCGCAAGCAGUAAUUUUGAUAUUUUGAUGUUUCCUAUGUUUGCUUUCUUUAACCAGUUCCUGGAUGCAUUGUUGGUUUGCUUGUCCUUAGGUGUGAUCUCAAACCCUGCUUGAAUUAAUCAGUUUUCAAAUACAGCGUAUUGAUGAGUGAGCAAAAAAAGUUAGUGCAGCUCAAUGCUGGCAGCACCUGGAGAGCAAGCGCCAAUGAGUAUGCUGAAGGACAGAGACUGUGAUGAGCACUAUCAGUGUGCAACGUGAACUGAUGGCAGUAAAUGUAAAGCGUGCCAUGGAUUAGCUAAUCUUCCAGAAGAACCCCAGCAUCUGCAUGCCAUGGCAAGUGAUCUGAGGAGCUCCAGCUGGUGCCUUUGGGAAGGGGGAGAUGCCCCACACUGACUCUUCCCAGCUGAGGCUGAACUGCACUGCUGAAAUGCAGGAAGCAUGGAGGCUCCUUGGUUUGCAG